rnacentral:rRNA from 1 species
UACGAAGGGUGCAAGCGUUACUCGGAAUUACUGGGCGUAAAGCGUGCGUAGGUGGUUUGUUAAGUCUGUUGUGAAAGCCCCGGGCUCAACCUGGGAAUGGCAAUGGAUGCUGGCAAGCUAGAGUGCGGUAGAGGGUAGUGGAAUUCCCGGUGUAGCGGUGAAAUGCGUAGAGAUCGGGAGGAACACCAGUGGCGAAGGCGGCUACCUGGACCAGCACUGACACUGAGGCACGAAAGCGUGGGGAGCAAACAGG